rnacentral:rRNA from 1 species
AGACUGGGAUAACAGAGGGAAACUUCUGAUAAUACUGGAUAAGUUAGUAUAUCGCAUGAUAUGCAAAUGAAAGCUACGGCACUAAAGGAGAGCUUUGCGUCCUAUUAGCUAGUUGGUAAGGUAAGAGCUUACCAAGGCGAUGAUAGGUAGCCGGCCUGAGAGGGUGGACGGCCACAAGGGGACUGAGAUACGGCCCUUACUCCUACGGGAGGCAGCAGCC